UUUGUCUCCUCCAGCUUGCCGUAGGAAGUGGACGCUGGAAGCCCGAGGAGCAGCGUCCUGUCCUCCCAAACCUAAGCGGCGCCCCACCCCCUUCUCGUGGCCCGUUACCCACGCCCGUGGCCGCAAGCGCAGCGGGAGCAGUGCCGGGAUCAUUCCGGGCUACCGGGUUAACGCUGUGUGCCAAGGAAGCUUUUUUUCCCCUUAGCUUCGCAGAACGUGGCCACGAAGUUAGUGGUCAUCUGACCUGAGACGUGCGGGACUGCGCACACGGGCAUCGCGGAGGACCCCAGUCCUGGACGUCGUGUUCUGUGGUGAUCCGACCAGAUCGACUCGCACUUGGAUCAUUGCAGUUCCUGGGCCUGCUGUCAUCUCCCCCUACAGUACUUCCUGCAUAUGACUACCAACUGUUAGACGAUGUGCUGCCAGACCAGCAUUUCAUUUCUUGGACAUCCGGCUAAUUACCCAGGAAAAGUCAUCCUUUGACUAUUUUUCAUGACCUUUCUCAUCUGACUCGUGGUCCCCCCAUCUUGCUGCUCCCUAGCAGUGUGGUAAGACACUUUCCCUUGAUCUUCUCCACCAUGUUUUGAUGCAGCACGAAAGCCCUCACCAGAACUGAGCAGAUGCCUGUGCCUUGCU